GGGCUUGUAGCUCAGUCUGGCCAGAGCGAUCGGCUCUUAACCGAUAGGUCGCGGGUUCAAAUCCUGUCAGGCCCG
rnacentral:tRNA from 1 species